rnacentral:rRNA from 1 species
UACGUAGGUGGCGAGCGUUGUCCGGAUUUACUGGGCGUAAAGAGCGCGCAGGCGGUCGUCCAAGUCGCGUGUGAAAGCCCCCGGCUCAACUGGGGAGGGUCACGCGAUACUGUUCGACUCGAAGGCAGGAGAGGGUAGUGGAAUUCCCGGUGUAGUGGUGAAAUGCGUAGAUAUCGGGAGGAACACCAGUGGCGAAGGCGACUACCUGGCCUGUUCUUGACGCUGAGGCGCGAAAGCUAGGGGAGCAAACGGG